rnacentral:rRNA from 1 species
AUACGGAGGAUCCGAGCGUUAUCCGGAUUUAUUGGGUUUAAAGGGUGCGCAGGCGGCCAUUUAAGUCAGCGGUUAAAUCGUGGGGCUCAACCCCAUUCUGCCGUUGAUACUGGGUGGCUUGAUUGCGGUCGAGGUUGGCGGAAUUCGUUGUGUAGCGGUGAAAUGCAUAGAUAUGACGUAGAACACCGAUUGCGUAGGCAGCUGACCAGACCGCAAAUGACGCUCAUGCACGAAAGUGCGGGGAUCGAACAGGAUUAGAUACCCUGGUAGUCCGCACAGUAAACGAUGAAUACUUGUUUUCGGCGAUAUAAUGUCGGAGGCAAAGCGAAAGCGAUAAGUAUUCCACCUGGGGAGUACGCCGGCAACGGUGAAACUUAAAGGAAUUGACGGGG